GCCGGGCAUUGUGGCGGGAGCCUAUGGUCCCAGCUACUUGGGAGGCUGAGGCAGGAGACUUGCUUGAGCCCAGGAGUUGGAGGUUGCUGUGAGCUGAGAUGCCACGGCACUCUACCCAGCGGGACAACUUGAGGCUCCUGUCUCAAAAAAAAAAAAAAAAAGAAUUUUAUUUUUCUAUUUAAAGGUGGGAAUUUCUUUUUUUUUUUUUUUGUUUUUUGUUUUUUUUUUGAGACAGAGCCUCAAGCUAUCCCCCUGGGUAGAGUGCCAUGGCAUCACGCUCACAGCAACCUCCAACUCCUGGGCUCAAGCGAGUCUCCUGCCUCCG
rfam:Otolemur garnettii contig054156, whole genome shotgun sequence.